UUAACAAUGAGUGGACUUCAUCCUAUAUCUGUCGGCCUUUUCUUCUGACAUCAUAUAAGACAUGUGACCUAACACACUACGUCACAAACCAACGACUGAGCGUUUCAUGGCCGCUCGGCCUGCUAGAAAUAGCAACCAAAUCGUUUUCAGAUCACCCUCUACUGUCCCAUGUAGAGGACACAUUUCAUAAUGAAGUCGUAGACACCCUUUAAAAACAGGUUGAUCCUGGUUUUAAAUUUGAUCCUGGCUUUAAUCAGAUUUUGAUCUGUGACUAACCUAUAAUAUACAGAAAAGAUCUUGGGCCGUCAGAUAUCACUAUUUGGCAAUGGAAAACGAUGAGACUCUUCGAACUUACAUGGUUUCUUUGUAUUUGCCUUAUCUAAGAGACAGAUCCACGGAUCCGAGCGCUAAACGAGUAAAUACGGCCAGUGCCGGUCCUGCGCGGAAUCGCCCGAAAGCUCUGAAACGAAUAAAGACAACUUUUAAGAGAACGGGCAGAAGACUUCGCAAACACUUUUCGCGUUUAACAUCGAGGUCAUCCAGUGUCCCCACCUUCAGCAGGCAAACGUCAAGCAAAGAGCAAAUUGAAACAAACCAAGGAAGUGAGGAAUCUUCAACAGCAUCAAAAGCUCUUUCUGAGGUAGUUAAAGAUAUUUGUGAUUUGAAACUGGAGACAUUAGAGGGCGAUAAACAUAUAAUUCCGGUGGUACAAGACACCGAGAAAACUUCAAAAUCUCAGAUGAAUUAGCACUGAACAGAUUUGGUGAAAUAUCGUUAUGUGAUGAUACAAUUAUCAAAUAACAAUUAAGUUAUAUAAACUUUUGAUAAAUGAUAAUUUGAUUUGAAUUUAAAUGAGUUUUUACCUUUUAUGGUACCUUCCUUUUGUAAACUUUUUCAUACGAAAAAUGAAAAAAAUUUCACAUUUCGGUAUACACGCUGGUAUAUUUUAUAGCAGUGUACAUUUGGCAACCACGAGAUAUCGAGUUCAGCCUCUUUGAGCGGCACCUUGGGCAAGUGUCUUUUUCUCUAUCUCCUCCGCUCCCCGUUUCUCUCCCCUCUCUCUCUUUCCAAUUGUCACAUCCCGGAUGUGCUGCCAGGUUAAGUUGAGGGUGCUGAAGAGUGUCUAUGUCUAUUCGUGACUACACAGGCACCUAAAACAAUUAGCGAAAGUAUGUUACAUUUUACAUGCCGUACUUACUUGCAAAUGACGGUUGUCUGAAUUGUACUUUAUCGGGGUGAGGGGAAGCACUUUUGGAUGAUGAUGAACUUAUUUCCGAAGUAAAGUUUUGGCUCCAGACGCAACCUACAGACCUCUAUAGGCGAGGUCUUCACUGCUGCAUAAAUCAAUGAGAGAAGCGUGUCAGAGGAAAUCUUUAAUGAGCACACCUCGUACAUAUAUGUAUGUAUGUAUGUAUGUAUGUAUGUAUGUAUGUAUGUAUGUAUGUGUGUGUGUAUGUAUGUAUGUAUAUACAUGCAUACAUACAAUCCUACAUACAUACACAUAGAUGCUCACAUACACACAUAUAUACACACACCUACACACACGCAUGCAACGAUGGAAAAGUUCUAAUGAAUAAGAAGACUUGCAAGAAAAUGAUACUGUAGCGCUCUGAUGAUGUCACAUUAGCCACGUGACCAAAACAUACUACAUCACAGAAACUCGAAACAAUCAGACAUUUGUUUGUUGACAACAUGGAUCGAGCUGACAAAAUGGUUUUGUAUUUACCUGACCAUAUCGAUAAGAUUACCUCAAAUAACACAAUCCCAGUUCUUAUUGCCUUUAUGAUUCCGCAGUGGGAACAGCCGAAAUUUUCGAAUCCGAUCCGAAUAGGUUUGAAGAAAGCGGGGAAGAAGCUUCGGCGAUUUUUUUCGCGUGCAAUAUUAAGGUCGUCUCGUGUUAAGACUCUGAAGAAACAUGCUAUACGGGAACAAGAAGUGGAAACUUUUACCUGCUUAGUUUAAUAUGAAAGUUUUUUUCUUAAAAUGACAGUAAAGAAAUACUCCAAAUAUAUUUAUAGCUGCAGUUUGAUGGCGCAAAGAUUUUACGUCUGUUGUCAACCUUUUUAUCAGCAGGAAUGUAAAAAUGAUAUUGUUAUCAAAAUAAAUUCGAAAUAUCAUUAUGGAGAUAAAAGAGACACGCGUGAAUUCCUGGACUAAAAACACCCAAAACAAACAAAGACAUUUAAAGGACAAACGUAUACGCACGCAUACGCACGCAUACGCACGCACACAAAACAUAUAAAAGGACUUUAAAAUAGCACAAACAGAUACCACAAAAAAAAAAGAUAUUUCUAAUAAUCAUAUUAAGAUUUCUUUAUUUCAUAAUUUGAAAACAUGUAAAAUACUAUAACCAUUAAAAAAAAAAAAAAAGAAUGCUGUUUAAAAAAAAUUACAAUAAACAUCUGUAAGGUAAAUUUUAAAUUACCUUUUGAAAAUUGCAAUACAAUGUUUGUUAGAAGGAAAGGCACUUAGUACAUUAUGGUACAUUUAUACCAGCUGAAGCCAAAAAUCAAUAGGUCGUGUAAUGGAUUCUAUUAACAAGGUUUUAAAAAAAAUAAACACUUGUACAUUUA